AGUGAACGCUGGCGGUAGGCCUAACACAUGCAAGUCGAACGGCAGCACAGUAAGAGCUUGCUCUUACGGGUGGCGAGUGGCGGACGGGUGAGGAAUACAUCGGAAUCUACUUUUUCGUGGGGGAUAACGUAGGGAAACUUACGCUAAUACCGCAUACGACCUACGGGUGAAAGCAGGGGAUCUUCGGACCUUGCGCGAUUGAAUGAGCCGAUGUCGGAUUAGCUAGUUGGCGGGGUAAAGGCCCACCAAGGCGACGAUCCGUAGCUGGUCUGAGAGGAUGAUCGGCCACACUGGAACUGAGACACGGUCCAGACUCCUACGGGAGGCAGCAGUGGGGAAUAUUGGACAAUGGGCGCAAGCCUGAUCCAGCCAUACCGCGUGGGUGAAGAAGGCCUUCGGGUUGUAAAGCCCUUUUAUUGGGAAAGAAAAGCAGCAUGUGAAUACCCCGCUGUUCUGACGGUACCCAAAGAAUAAGCACCGGCUAACUUCGUG
rnacentral:rRNA from 1 species